rnacentral:lncRNA from 1 species
GGGAAAUUUUGGGAAUUUCAGAGAGUUUGGGGGGAAUUUGGGUGGAUUUUGGGGAAAUUUUGGGGGGGAUUUGGGGGAUUUUGGGUGGAUUUUGGGGAAUUUGGGGGGAUUUUGGGGGAUUUUUGGGAAUUUUGGGGAAUUUGGGGGAAUUUUGGGGGGUCUCACCCCUUUUCCCCUCCCCCCCCAGACAUUCAGGAGAGCUACGAGACCUCCGUGAGCGGCCCCUCCCCCCGCCCCCGGGUAACCCAAAAUUCCCAAAUUUACCCCAAAAUUUUUCCCAAAAAAAUCCCCACAAAAAUCCCCCCCAAAAAAACCAAAUUUCCCCAAAAUCUCCACAAAAAAAACCCAAAAUUCCCCCCAAAAAAUCCAAAAUUUCCCAACAAACCCAAAAUCGCCACAAAACCCCCCAAAUUUCCUCAAAAACUCCACAAAAAAAUCCCCAAAAUCCCCCCAAAAAACCCAAAUUCCCCCAAAAAACCCAAAAUCGCCACAAAAAACCCCAAAAUUCCCAAACCCCUCCCCCCCUUUAGCCCCUCCCCCUCACGUCUCCCCCAAAAUCCCAAAAUUUCCCCCCAAAAUUCCCAAUUUUCCCUCUCAAACCCCUCAAAAAUCCCAAUAUUCCCCCCAAAUCCUGAAUUUCCCCCCAAAAUUCCCAAUUUUUCCCCUCAAAUCCCCGAAAUCCCAAAUUUCCCCCCAAAAUUCCCAAUUUUUCCCCUCGAAUCCCCCCAAAAAUCCCAAUUUUCCCCCCGAAAUUCCCAAUUUUCCUCCCAAAAUUUCCAUUUUUUCCCCCUAAAUCCCCAAAAUUCCCAAAUUUCCCCCGAAAAAUCCAAAAUUUCCCCCCAAAAAUCCCAAUUUUCCACCCCAAAUUCCCCAAAUCCCCGAUUUUCCCCCAAAUCCCCCCAAAAAAUCCCAAUUUUUCCCCCGAAAUUCCCGAAUUCCCCCCCCCGAAAUCCCCUCGCAACCCCCCCCAGGAGCCUUCAUCCCUCCCCCCUCCCCCUCCUCCUCCUCCUCAUCCUCCCGAGCCUUCAUCCCCUCCCUCCUCCUCCUCCUCCCGAGCCUUCCUCUUCAUCUUCAUCUUCCUCCUCCUCAUCCUCCCGAGCCUUCCUCCCUUCCCUCCUCUUCCUCAUCCUCCUCCCGAGCCUUCAUCCCCUCCCGGCUCCAUCCUCAUCCUCCCGAGCCUUCAUCCCCUCCCUCCUCUUCCUCAUCCUCCCCCCGAGCCUUCCUCCCCUCCGGGCUCCAUCCGCAUCCUCCUCCCGAGCCUUCAUCCCCUCCGGGCUCCAUCCUCAUCCUCCCCUCGAGCCUUCCUCCCCUCCCGCAUCCUCCUCAUUCUCCCCCCGAGCCUUCAUCCCCUCCCGGCUCCAUCCUCAUCCUCCCGAGCCUUCCUCCCGCUCCUCCUCCUCCUCAUCCUCCUCCCGAGCCUUCAUCCCGCUUUGCCUUCAUCCUCCUCCUCCUCCCGAGCCUUCCUCCCUUCCCGGCUCCAUCCUCAUCCUCCCGAGCCUUCCUCCCCUCCCGCAUCCUCCUCCUCCUCCUCCUCGCGCCGCUCCUCCUCUUCCUCCCCCCUCCCGGGGGCUCCUUCAUCUUCAUCCUCCUCCUCCUCCUCUUUCUUCAUCCCCUCGGUGUCUUCAUCUUCCUCUUCCUCCUCCUCCUCCUCCUCCCGGGCCUUCCUCCCGCUCCUCCUCCUCCUCCUCCUCCUCCCGGCCCCUCCUCCCGGGCCUUCCUCCUCCUCCCGCUCCUCCUCCUCCUCCUCCUCCUCCCGCUCUUCCUCCCUUCCCGCUGCCGCAUCUUCCUCCUCCUCCUCCUCCUCUUCCUCCUCCUCCCCCCAGAUCUUCAUCCCCUCCAUCCUCCUCCUCCUCCUCUCCAUCCUCCCCCCCUCGAGCCUUCAUCCCUUCAUCCUCCUCCUCCUCCUCUCCAUCUUCCCCCCCCUCCCGAGCCUUCAUCCCUUCAUCCCCUCCAUCCUCAUCCUCCUCCUCCUCUCCAUCUUCCCCCCCUCCCGAGCCUUCAUCCCUCCAUCCUCAUCCUCAUCCUCCUCCUCUCCAUCCCCCCCUCGAGCCUUCAUCCCUUCAUCCCCUCCAUCCUCCUCCUCCUCUCCAUCCUCCCCCCCUCGAGCCUUCAUCCCUUCAUCCCCUCCAUCCUCAUCCUCCUCCUCCUCCUUCAUCCUGGUCCUUCAUCCCCCCCCACCUCCUCCUCCUCCUCUUUUUCCCGAGCCUUCAUCCCUUCAUCCUCUCCAUCCUCUUCCUCCUGCUCCUUCAUCCUCCUCCUCCUCCUCAUCCCGAGCCUUCAUCCUCCCCCUUUGCCAUCCUCCUCCUCCUCCGGGGCCUUCAUCCCUUCAUCCUCCUCAUCUUCCUCAUCGCCCCCCCUUUUUUUCUUCCUCCUCCUCCUCCUCUUCAUCCUCCCGAGCCUUCAUCCCCCCAUCCCCCCUCCUCCUCCUCCUCCCCCUCCCGAGCCUUCAUCCUCCUCCUCCGGGGCCUUCAUCCCUUCAUCCUCUCCAUCCUCCUCCUCCUCUUCAUCCUCCUCCUCCUCUUCCCCCCGAGCCUUCAUCCCCCCCAUCCCCCCUCCUCCUCCUCCUCCUCCGGGGCCUUCAUCCCUUCAUCCCUUCAUCCUCCUCAUCCUCCCCCCCACCUUUUUUCUUCCUCCUCCUCCUCCUCCUCCUCUUCCUCCUCCUCCGGGGCCUUCAUCCCUUCAUCCCUUCAUCCUCCUCUUCCUCCUCCUCCCCCUCCCGAGCCUUCCUCCUCCUCCUCCUCCGGGGCCUUCAUCCCUUCAUCCUCCUCAUCCUCCCCCCCACCUUUUUUCUUCCUCCUCCUCCUCCUCCUCCUCUUCAUCCUCCUCCUCCUCUUCCUCCCGAGCCUUCAUCCCCCCCAUCCCCUCCUCCUCCUCCCCUCCCGAGCCUUCCUCCCCCUCCUCCUCCUCCCCCGCGGCCCCCCCGGCCCAUGA